GCCGAGAUAGCUCAGUUGGAAGAGCGUCAGACUGAAGAUCUGAAGGUCCCUGGUUCAAAACCAUCCAAAGAAACAUGAACUGUCCCGGGUCUCGGCA
rnacentral:tRNA from 1 species